ensembl:lncRNA
CUAUAUACAGGGGGUACCAGUACAGAGUGAAUGUGGAGGCUAUAUACAGGGGGAACCAGUACAGAGUCAAUGUGGAGGCUAUAUACAGGGGGUACCGGUACAGAGUCAAUGUGGAGGCUAUAUACAGGGGGAACCGGUACAGAGUCAAUGUGGAGGCUAUAUACAGGGGGUACCAGUACAGAGUCAAUGUGGAGGCUAUAUACAGGGGGUACCAGUACAGAGUCAAUGUGGAGGCUAUAUACAGGGGUACCGGUACAGAGUCAAUGUGGAGGCUAUAUACAGGGGUACCAGUACAGAGUCAAUGUGGAGGCUAUAUACAGGGGUACUGGUACAGAGUCAAUGUGGAGGCUAUAUACAGGGGGGGUACUGGUACAGAGUCAAUGUGGAGGCUAUAUACAGGGGCUACCAGUACAGAGUCAAUGUGGAGGCUAUAUACAGGGGGUACCAGUACAGAGUCAAUGUGGAGGCUAUAUACAGGGUGUACUGGUACCGAGUCAAUGUGGAGGCUAUAUACAGGGGGUACCGGUACAGAGUCAAUGUGGAGGCUAUAUACAGGGGGUACCAGUACAGAGUCAAUGUGGAGGCUAUAUACAGGGUGUACCAGUACAGAGUCAAUGUGGAGGCUAUAUACAGGGGGUACCAGUACAGAGUCAAUGUGGAGGCUAUAUACAGGGUGUACCAGUACAGAGUCAAUGUGGAGGCUAUAUACAGGGGGUACCAGUACAGAGUCAAUGUGGAGGCUAUAUACAGGGUGUUAAGUUGCAGAGUCAAUGUGGAGGCUAUAUACAGGGGGUACCGGUACAGAGUCAAUA